rnacentral:lncRNA from 1 species
CUUGUGUGGAACCUUAAUUGUGAACCCUGUGGAAAACAAGUAAAUGAACACUCGAGAUUUCCUCUCAGAAGGGGCUGCAUUUUCAUGUUUCAAGGCACACUACGGACACAGUACAGCCAUUUCCCCUGGGGUGCUUUGCCAAGUGAAAUGAUGUGGAAAAGAGUGUGCUAGCAGAAGUAUGAGCUUCUGAUCAAGCCUCAGAGGAAACAGACGUAUCUGGAAGGGAAAGGAGAAACAGUCUACAUUGAAUCCUUCAGAUUUGGAAAGAAGACUAUACAAAGAACUAAUCUCAGAGCCACUGGAUAUACAUAUUGAGAGGGCGAAACAGCGUGAUCCUUUUCCUUGAAAUCUGAGGCCAAAAAAUAGAGGAUUGCUGUCACUAGGCGACACCACAGAUGCAGUUACUAAAAUAUUAAUAGGGAGCAAGAAACCUGAGUAGACCACAGCUCUUUCACAUCUUGAUGAGUUGUCAAGGAUGUCCUCAUACCUCUUUUUGGAGCUGUCAUUAAAAAAAACUAUUUUUUUUUACUUCUACCCAUGACUUUUCCUUAGCAGUAGUAUCACGAGGGUGGUCUUUUUUAAAGCUGCAUUAAAAAUGCUUAUUUAUUUGAUGGAUUAAAGUUGCAGUGUCCAGAGAAGUACAUACCCUAAUAAAACACAGAUGUACCUUUAAGCA